rnacentral:tRNA from 1 species
GAGACUUUAGCUUAAUUAAAGUGUCUGAGUUGCAUUCAGAAGAUAUGAGAUAAAGUCUUGUAGGUCUUA